CAGUUAAAAAGCUCGUAGUUG
rnacentral:siRNA from 1 species